UACCUGGUUGAUCCUGCCAGUAGUCAUAUGCUUGUCUCAAAGAUUAAGCCAUGCAUGUCUAAGUACAGGCCGAAUUAAGGCGAAACCGCGAAUGGCUCAUUAAAUCAGUUAUGGUUCAUUGGAUCUUACCUUGUCCUACUUGGAUAACUGUGGUAAUUCUAGAGCUAAUACAUGCAAGCAAGCCCCGACCGGCGACGGGAAGGGCGCUUUUAUUAGAUCAAAACCAAUCGGGCUCUUCGGGGCCCGUACCCCAGUGGUGACUCUGAAUAACUUUGUGCUGAGCGCACGGUCCUGGUACCGGCGCCGAAUCCUUCAAGUGUCUGCCUUAUCAGCUUUCGAUUGUAGGUUAUGCGCCUACAAUGGCUAUAACGGGUAACGGGGAAUCAGGGUUCGAUUCCGGAGAGGGAGCCUGAGAAACGGCUACCACAUCUAAGGAAGGCAGCAGGCACGCAAAUUACCCACUCCCGGCUCGGGGAGGUAGUGACGAAAAAUAACGAUGCGGGACUCAUCCGAGGCCUCGCAAUCGGAAUGAGUACACUUUAAAUCCUUUAACGAGGAUCUAUUGGAGGGCAAGUCUGGUGCCAGCAGCCGCGGUAAUUCCAGCUCCAAUAGCGUAUAUUAAAGUUGCUGCGGUUAAAAAGCUCGUAGUUGGAUUCGAGUCACGGAGCGAGGGUUCACCGCCCGGUGCUUACUCUCCGCCAUCCGGACGUUGAUGUCGGCGUGGCACGGGGUGCUCUUCACCGAGUGUCCCGGCGCCGCCGACGAGUUUACUUUGAAAAAAUUAGAGUGCUCAGAGCAGGCCGUUCCUGACGCGCCUGAAUAGUUGUGCAUGGAAUAAUGGAAUAGGACCUCGGUUCUAUUUUCCGUUGGUUUUCGGAACCCCGAGGGUAAUGACCUAAUAGGAACAGUCGGGGGCAUUCGUAUUGCGACGUUAGAGGUGAAAUUCUUGGAUCGUCGCAAGACGAACUACUGCGAAGCAUUUUGCCAAGAA
rnacentral:rRNA from 1 species